GUGAUAUUUAGAUUUUAUUGAAAAUAAUUGUGAGACUAAAACCAAAGUAACAAUAUUGCAACUUAUAUCUUGAGAAUUUGGUAACGCAUGAAAUCAUCAUACGGAAGUAUCAAUCAAGGAACCAUGACAGGUUUAUGGCGCAGGAGUGUGGUAGGUCAGUGCAAAAUUAUGAAAAAAGCUUGAGUUUUUUCCUUGCUUUAAUUAAGACGAGAAUUUAAAGUAGGUGAAUGAUAUUUAAUAUGAAGUGCUUCAAGCAACAAGAGGAAAUUAGGUAACUUGCGAGAGUUAAUUAGGAUGGUUUCCAGUGUUGCGUUUUUCCUGCGCACGAACAGGCACGUAAAACUUUAAAUCCAUUUACUGUAAAUGUUACUUAUGAAAUAACCAAAGAAAUAGAGCAACAGAAUUUAGUGUUCCCCAUGAGAAG